rnacentral:rRNA from 1 species
GAUGAACGCUGGCGGCGUGCCUAAUACAUGCCAGUCGAGCGAACAGACGAGGAGCUUGCUCCUCUGACGUUAGCGGCGGACGGGUGAGUAACACGUGGAUAACCUACCUAUAAGACUGGGAUAACUUCGGGAAACCGGAGCUAAUACCGGAUAAUAUAUUGAACCGCAUGGUUCAAUAGUGAAAGACGGUUUUGCUGUCACUUAUAGAUGGAUCCGCGCCGCAUUAGCUAGUUGGUAAUUUAACGGCUUACCAAGGCAACGAUGCGUAGCCGGCCUGAGAGGGUGAUCCGCCACGCUGGGACUGGGACACGGUCCAGGCUCCGUCGGGAGGCAGCAGUAGGGAAUCUUCCGCAAUGGGCGAAAGCCUGACGGAGCAACGCCGCGUGAGUGAUGAAGGUCUUCGGAUCGUAAAACUCUGUUAUUAGGGAAGAAAAAAUGUGUAAGUAACUAUGCACGUCUUGACGGUACCUAAUCAGAAAGCCACGGCUAACUACGUG